AACGAACGCUGGCGGCAGGCUUAACACAUGCAAGUCGAACGCGUGUAGCAAUACACGAGUGGCGCGCGGGUGAGUAACGCGUGGAUAUCUGCCUUUUGGUUCGGAAUAACCCCGGGAAACUGGGGCUAAUACCGGAUGGUUCCUUCGGGAUAAAGAUUUAUCGCCAAAAGAUGAGUCCGCGUCCGAUUAGCUAGUUGGUGAGGUAAUGGCUCACCAAGGCGACGAUCGGUAGCUGGUCUGAGAGGACGAUCAGCCACACUGGGACUGAGACACGGCCCAGACUCCUACGGGAGGCAGCAGUGGGGAAUAUUGGACAAUGGGGGCAACCCUGAUCCAGCCAUGCCGCGUGAGUGAUGAAGGCCUUCGGGUUGUAAAGCUCUUUUGGCGGGGACGAUGAUGACGGUACCCGCAGAAUAAGCCCCGGCUAACUUCGUGCCAGCCGCCGCCGUAACAC
rnacentral:rRNA from 1 species